GGUUUAGCUCAGCGGCAUAAGCGCCUGCCUUGCAAGCAGGCAGUCGUGAGUUCAAUCCCUCGUACCG
rnacentral:tRNA from 1 species